GGUGAUUAUAGCUACCUGCCCCUGAAUUUUAAAUGGCCGCAGUAAUUUGACUGUGCAAAGGUAGCAUAAUCAUUAGUUUUUUAAUUAAAAGCUUGUAUGAAAGGUUGGACGAAGUAAAAGCUGUCUCUAUUUAAUUUAAGUUAGAAUUUAAUUUUUAAGUUAAAAAGCUUAAAUAUAUAUAAAAGACGAGAAGACCCUAUAGAGCUUUAUAAUUAAUUUAAUAUAAUUAAUUAAGAUUUAUUUAAGUUUUAUUAAUAUAAUUAUUUUAUUGGGGUAAUAGGAAGAUUAAGUAAAUUCUUUUUUUAUUUUAUACAUUAAUUUAUGUUUUAAUGAUCCAUUUUUAAUGAUUAAAAGAUUAAGUUACCUUAGGGAUAACAGCGUAAUUUUUUUAGAGAGUUCAUAUCGAUAAAAAAGUUUGCGACCUCGAUGUUGGAUUAAAGAUUAAUUUAGGUGUAGAAGUUUGAAUAUUUGGUCUGUUCGACCAUUAAAUCUUUACGUGAUCUGAGUUCAGACCGGA
rnacentral:rRNA from 1 species